GGAAUAUUGGACAAUGGGCGAAAGCCUGAUCCAGCCAUGCCGCGUGAGUGAUGAAGGCCCUAGGGUUGUAAAGCUCUUUCACCGGGGAAGAUAAUGACGGUACCCGGAGAAGAAGCCCCGGCUAACUUCGUGCCAGCAGCCGCGGUAAUACGAAGGGGGCUAGCGUUGUUCGGAAUUACUGGGCGUAAAGCGCACGUAGGCGGACUAUUAAGUCAGGGGUGAAAUCCCGGGGCUCAACCCCGGAACUGCCUUUGAUACUGGUAGUCUAGAGUUCGAGAGAGGUGAGUGGAAUUCCGAGUGUAGAGGUGAAAUUCGUAGAUAUUCGGAGGAACACCAGUGGCGAAGGCGGCUCACUGGCUCGAUACUGACGCUGAGGUGCGAAAGCGUGGGGAGCGAA
rnacentral:rRNA from 1 species